rnacentral:rRNA from 1 species
ACGGGGUGCAGCAGGCGCGAAAACUUCGCAAUGCGGGAAACCGCGACGAGGGUAUUCCAAGUGCUAUUGCAAUGCAAUAGCUUUUCAAAAGCCUAAAAAGCUUUUGGAAUAAGGGCUGGGUAAGUCUGGUGCCAGCCGCCGCGGUAAUACCAGCAGCUCAAGUGGUGGUCGAUAUUAUUGAGCCUAAAGCGUCCGUAGCCGGACGGGUAAAUUCUUGGGUAAAUCGAACAGCUCAACUGUUCGACUUCCGAGAAGACUGCCCGUCUUGGGACUGGGAGAGGUCGGAGGUACUCUAGGGGUAGGGGUGAAAUCCUGUAAUCCUUAGAGGACCACCAGUGGCGAAGGCGUCCGACUAGAACGGGUCCGACGGUGAGGGACGAAGCCCAGGGGCGCGAACCGGAUUAGAUACCCGGGUAGUCCUGGCCGUAAACGAUGCAUACUAGGUGAUGGCACGGCCAUGAGCCGUGUCAGUGCCGUAGGGAAACCGUUAAGUGUGCCGCCUGGGAAGUACGUCGCAAGGC